rnacentral:tRNA from 1 species
GGUUGUGGCUCAGCGGUAGAGUGCUCACCUAGCAUAUGUGGGGCUCUGGGUUCGAUCCUCAGCACCA